CGAACUGAUUAGAAGCUUGCUUCUAUGACGUUAGCGGCGGACGGGUGAGUAACACGUGGGCAACCUGCCUGUAAGACUGGGAUAACUUCGGGAAACCGAAGCUAAUACCGGAUAGGAUCUUCUCCUUCAUGGGAGAUGAUUGAAAGAUGGUUUCGGCUAUCACUUACAGAUGGGCCCGCGGUGCAUUAGCUAGUUGGUGAGGUAACGGCUCACCAAGGCAACGAUGCAUAGCCGACCUGAGAGGGUGAUCGGCCACACUGGGACUGAGACACGGCCCAGACUCCUACGGGAGGCAGCAGUAGGGAAUCUUCCGCAAUGGACGAAAGUCUGACGGAGCAACGCCGCGUGAGUGAUGAAGGCUUUCGGGUCGUAAAACUCUGUUGUUAGGGAAGAACAAGUACAAGAGUAACUGCUUGUACCUUGACGGUACCUAACCAGAAAGCCACGGCUAACUACGUGCCAGCAGCCGCGGUAAUACGUAGGUGGCAAGCGUUAUCCGGAAUUAUUGGGCGUAAAGCGCGCGCAGGCGGUUUCUUAAGUCUGAUGUGAAAGCCCACGGCUCAACCGUGGAGGGUCAUUGGAAACUGGGGAACUUGAGUGCAGAAGAGAAAAGCGGAAUUCCACGUGUAGCGGUGAAAUG
rnacentral:rRNA from 1 species